rnacentral:rRNA from 1 species
GACGAACGCUGGCGGCGUGCUUAACACAUGCAAGUCGAACGAAGUGGCGAACGGGUGAGUAACGCGUAAUCAACCUGCCCUUCAGAGGGGGACAACAGUUGGAAACGACUGCUAAUACCGCAUACUGAAGGAGGGGAUUGCGUGGGAUUAGCUAGUUGGAGGGGUAACGGCCCACCAAGGCGAUGAUCAGUAGCCGGUCUGAGAGGAAUAACGGCCACAUUGGGACUGAGACACGGCCCAGACUCCUACGGGAGGGAGCAGGGGGGAAUCUUCCGAAAUGGACGAAAGUCUGACGGAGCAACGCCGCGUGAGUGAUGACGGCUUUCGGGGUGUAAAGCUCUGUUAAUCGGGACGCGGUACCGGAAUAGAAAGCAACGGCUAACUACGUGCCAGCAGCCGCGGUAAUAC